GAUGAAGAACGUAGCGAAAUGCGAUAAGUAAUGUGAAUUGCAGAAUUCAGUGAAUCAUCGAAUCUUUGAACGCACAUUGCGCCCGCCAGUAUUCUGGCGGGCAUGCCUGUUCGAGCGUCAUUUCAACCCUCAAGCCCCCGGGCUUGUGUUGGGGACCUGCGGCUGCCGCAGGCCCUGAAAUGCAGUGGCGGGCUCGCUGUCACUCCGAGCGUAGUAGUUACAUCUCGCUCUGGGCGUGCUGCGGGUUCCGGCCGUUAAAAGCCUUAUUUACCCAAGGUUGACCUCGGAUCAGGUAGGAAGACCCGCUGAACUUAAGCAUAUCAAUAAGCGGAGGA
rnacentral:misc_RNA from 1 species